UAAUAGCGUAUAUUAAAGUUGUUGCAGUUAAAAAGCUCGUAGUUGGAUUUCUGGUUGAAGCGACCGGUCGGGCGUUGAUUCGUCUGCACUGGAGUCGGUUUUGGCCAUCCUCUAGGAAAGUGCGUCUGGUAUUAAGUUAUCGGGCGUAUGAUCCUGGUCUUUUACUGUGAAAAAAUUAGAGUGUUUAAAGCAGGCCUUCGCCUUGAAUACAUUAGCAUGGAAUAAUAAGAUAGGACUUUGGUCUAUUUUGUUGGUUUGCAGACCGAAGUAAUGAUUAAUAGGGAUAGUUGGGGGUAUUUAUAUUCCGAUGUCAGAGGUGAAAUUCUUAGAUUUUCGGAAGAUAAACUUAUGCGAAAGCAUUUACCAAGGAUGUUUNCAUUA
rnacentral:rRNA from 1 species